AUGGUUGUUUGAGUCCAAUGAAUUUUGUUGCGCAAGGAAUUGUUUCCAAGAAAAUAAAAUAGUGGAGUUAAUCAAAUAAGACAAAAGGACUUCUAUAAAAAAAAAUUACUUGAUAUUAAAAUAUUGUAUCAUUGUAUGUCUGAUUUUGAUUGCUAUUUUGGAUAAUCCAGGUCCUCAACUUCUGGAGUUGAUAAGAAACAGAAUAGAACAUAUGCUUGAGUUUUUUGAUACAACAGGUUUCAAAUGUCAACAGAGGCAAGGAGCUGCAGACUUCUUGCAACAAGUAACAUCAAAACAAGAUGAGAAGCAAUACUAGCACCUUACAGAUAUGUUACAA